AAAGCCAAUCAGGCGGGUCUGCAAAACCAUUGGUGCAUUCCUGAGGUCCGAGGACCGUAGAAUGCAGAGCGCCCGGCCGGUGUGGCCUUCGAUUGGCUAGUACUCCCGUCAGUCAUUUCAGUUUAUGCUUCUGUCAUUGCCACGUCACCCCCGCCCAUCGCUCUGCCCUUCAUCCUUUUCCGCCCUUACGGAUUGGUGGUCGGUAUCAGCUGCUCAAGCCUUUCUACCAAUUACUGAACGCGCCGAGCUAGAGAUGGAGACAACCUAGAUGCCUACAACUGGACAAAUGGAUAAUGGAAAUGCAGUACAUAUGUGCAGCGGAAUACUAUUCAUCUCUAAAGAAAGAUGAAAUCAUGACUUUUGCAGGCUGUCCAAGAGACCCAAAAAUAUUACAAACUAUUUCUAUUGCCACUGGUUAUCUCCUGGAGGGGGAAAGUAAGUAGAUGGAGACCACUACAGGAAACUACAAUGGAAGUAAAGAGUUGUGGAGCCCCAUACCAAUGAAUGCAACUACAAAACACUCCCACACUUGAGGCUCGGGGAAAUUGUGGAAGAGGGGACAGAGAGAAUGUAAAAGCUAACAGAGUUUGCUGUGGAAUUGUUUAUUAUACCCAUAAAGUCUCACCAACACGACUGCCCAAAUGUGAGCUGAACAAGGAUGAUACCAAUGAACAUGGCAAAGUAGAUGCAGAAAACCCCACAAGGAAUCAACCCUACACAAGAACUAUAGGCAACUGAGGAAAGCUGGGAGUGAAAGAGGUGGUCCUCUCCAGGGAAGAGCACACCAAUUGAUUUUUUCCAGUGCUAAAUGGUCAUCCCUGAAAGCAUAUAUACAAGUAACAUUUUAUGGAGAAAUACAAUAGGUUGUAUUAGAAAUAUAUACAUAUAUGAAAAUAUACAUAUGGAUGUAAUAACAGUGAAAAUAGGAUUUUAAGGAGUAUGGGUAGGGGUAUAUGGGAGGGCUUGGAGGGAGGAAAGGGAAAGAAGAGAUCUUGUUAUUAAAUUGUAAUCUCAGAAAUAAACAACAAAAAUUAUUCCCUUGGGACCCAGUGGUUAAGAGUUUUUGCUGCUCUUCCCGAGAACCCACAUUCAGUUCCAGCACCCACUUAGUCAGCUCACAACCACCCAUAACUCCAGCUCCAGGGGUUCUAAUGCCCUGUUUUUGUCUCCAGGGGCGCCAACACUUAGGUAGACACAUGUGCACAUUUAUAUGCACACACAUACACACAGUAAAUCUUAAUAAAGCAAUUUCCUCAAUGAUUUUACCUUUUUGU